GCCCAACACCAUGGUUUCACCAUGCUAAAAUCAAAGCGGAUCUGUAUUCCUAGUGAUUGUAGGACUACUAAGGGCUUCAUUUUCUUGCUCUCAGCUGUGGGCCUUCCCAGCUUCCAGAGACCACCCACUUUCCUUGACUCGUGGCCCACUUCUGUUUUCAAAGCCAGCAGCAGCUGGUUGAUUCCUUCUCAAGCUAAGAAUGUCUGUUCCUCCUUUCAUCUCAUCUCUAACCUAGCUGGGAAAGGUUCUCUGCCUGUGAGGAUUUCUUUGAUUAUAUUGGGCCCACACUGAUAAUCGAGGAUUAUCUCCACUGUCUCAAGGACCAUACCCUUAAUCACAUCUGCAGAGUCCCUUUUGCCAUGGAACUGUAAGGUUAAAAAGAUCAAGUGGCAUGAGCAGCCUUUUGGGGAAAAUCGGAGCCAAGAAGCAGAAGAUGAGCACCCUAGAGAAGUCCAAGCUGGACUGGGAGAGCUUCAAAGAGGAAGAGGGCAUUGGCGAAGAGCUAGCCAUCCACAACCGAGGGAAGGAGGGAAAGUUCCUUGUUUAGACCAAAUGAGUGGUCUGGAUGUUACUGAAAGAGUAACAGCGGCCCCUCUGCCUGUGGUCACCUGCUUGCAUUUGCUGUCGCCCGCUGAGCCCCAGGCCAGGUACAUCGAACGAAAAGCUUUUCUAGACCGAGUGGAUCACAGGCAGUUUGAAAUCGAGCGAGAUCUCAGGCUGAGCAAAAUGAAACCCUGAUGUGAUGGGGAGCCCCCGCAGCUCAGUCCUCUUUAUAGCGUGAGCUUAUGUGUCUGUGAGAUGUUUCCUGUGCUUCUCAUCGACUGGCUCCCAGCAAGGUCCUUUUUUCUACACUGAAUUUCUGUCUUUGUAUCUUGAUCUCACAUGAUUUCAUUUGUUUUACUUUUAAUAGUUUGUCCUUUCAAAAAUAAAGAUUAAAAAAAAAAGUACAAGUUGAUCCUGUGAGAGGCUGGUGAGGAUGACGCCACUUGCCUUCCCUUUGUUCUGCUGCGAAGUCCACGAGGCCAAGCCCGUUCCUCGCAGGCCUGUCUCGGCCGCUGUGGAGAAGAGAGCGCGCGGCCCGCUCACCGUGGGCCCGAGAGCAGGGGCUGAGACGAGGCUCGCCAUGCUGGCAUGAUGCCAGGCCCCGCGCUUCUCUCCUGACUGGACUCCUCCACCCGGAUACAAUGUAAAGAUGUAAGGCUGAAAAAUAAGGAUAUGCCAUCACUGAAUUAGAGAUCUUUCUUUUCCUUCAGCCUUUCUCCUCUCCUCAAAGUUAAAGUCAACUUCCCAUGUUUCUCAUCUCAAUAAUUCUUUGAUUGGGGGUUUGUCAAAGAAAACUACAAAGGACUCUUUUUUUUUAACUCUUUAGAAGAUUUAAAUUCCAAACUUCAUAUUAAUAAAGCAGUAAACCUCACAA
ensembl:lncRNA